rnacentral:rRNA from 1 species
UACGGAGGAUCCAAGCGUUAUCCGGAUUUAUUGGGUUUAAAGGGUUCGCAGGCGGAAGAUUAAGUCGGCGGUGAAAUUUUGCAGCUCAACUGUAAAAGUGCCAUCGAUACUGGUUUUCUUGAGUGUGGAUGAAGUAGGCGGAAUUUGUGGUGUAGCGGUGAAAUGCAUAGAUAUCACGAGGAACUCCGAUUGCGCAGGCAGCUUACUAGGCCAUAACUGACGCUCAGGCACGAAGGCGUGGGGAUCAAACAGGAUUAGAUA